rnacentral:rRNA from 1 species
GACGAACCGAGCGAACGUUGUUCGGAAUCACUGGGCUUAAAGGGCUCGUAGGCGGCCAACUAAGUCAGACGUGAAAUCCCUCGGCUUAACCGGGGAACUGCGUCUGAUACUGGAUGGCUUGAGAUUGGGAGAGGGAUGCGGAAUUCCAGGUGUAGCGGUGAAAUGCGUAGAUAUCUGGAGGAACACCGGUGGCGAAGGCGACAUCCUGGACCAACACUGACGCUGAGGAGCGAAAGCCAGGGGAGCAAACGGG